rnacentral:rRNA from 1 species
CCGGUGUAGCGGUGGAAUGCGUAGAUAUCGGGAGGAACAACAGGUGGCGAAAGGCGGCCUACUGGGCACUAACUGACGCUGAGGCUCGAAAGCAUGGGUAGCAAACAGGAUUAGAUACCCUGGUAGUCCAUGCCGUAAACGAUGAUUACUAGGUGUGGGAGGAUUGACCCCUUCCGUGCCGCAGUUAACACAAUAAGUAAUCCACCUGGGGAGUACGACCGCAAGGUUGAAACUCAAAGGAAUUGACGGGGGCCCGCACAAGCAGUGGAGUAUGUGGUUUAAUUCGAAGCAACGCGAAAAACCUUACCAGGUCUUGACAUCCCGUGCAUAGCUAAGAGAUUAGUGAAGUCCUUCGGGACACGGAGACAGGUGGUGCAUGGUUGUCGUCAGCUCGUGUCGUGAGAUGUUGGGUUAAGUCCCGCAACGAGCGCAACCCUUAUCUUUAGUUACUACGCAAGAGGACUCUAGAGAGACUGCCGUUGACAAAACGGAGGAAGGUGGGGAUGACGUCAAAUCAUCAUGCCCUUUAUGACCUGGGCCACACACGUACUACAAUGGCAAUUAACAAAGAGAAGCGAAACCGCGAGGUGGAGCGAACCUCAUAAAAAUUGUCUCAGUUCGGAUCGCAGGCUGCAACCCGCCUGCGUGAAGCCGGAAUUGCUAGUAAUCGCGGAUCAGCAUGCCGCGGUGAAUACGUUCCCGGGCCUUGUACACACCGCCCGUCACACCAUGAGAGCCGGGGGGACCCGAAGUCGGUAGUCUAACCGCAAGGAGGACGCCGCCGAAGGUAAAACUGGUGAUUGGGGUGAAGUCGUAACAAAGGUAGCCGUAAAGCC